rnacentral:rRNA from 1 species
UGGGGAAUAUUGGACAAUGGGCGCAAGCCUGAUCCAGCCAUGCCGCGUGAGUGAUGAAGGCCCUAGGGUUGUAAAGCUCUUUCACCGGUGAAGAUAAUGACGGUAACCGGAGAAGAAGCCCCGGCUAACUUCGUGCCAGCAGCCGCGGUAAUACGAAGGGGGCUAGCGUUGUUCGGAUUUACUGGGCGUAAAGCGCACGUAGGCGGACUUUUAAGUCAGGGGUGAAAUCCCGGGGCUCAACCCCGGAACUGCCUUUGAUACUGGAAGUCUUGAGUAUGGAAGAGGUAAGUGGAAUUGCGAGUGUAGAGGUGAAAUUCGUAGAUAUUCGCAGGAACACCAGUGGCGAAGGCGGCUUACUGGUCCAUUACUGACGCUGAGGUGCGAAAGCGUGGGGAGCAAACA